rnacentral:rRNA from 2 species
ACGAACUCUGGUAUUGAUUGGUGCUUGCAUCAUGAUUUACAUUUGAGUGAGUGGCGAACUGGUGAGUAACACGUGGGAAACCUGCCCAGAAGCGGGGGAUAACACCUGGAAACAGAUGCUAAUACCGCAUAACAACUUGGACCGCAUGGUCCGAGUUUGAAAGAUGGCUUCGGCUAUCACUUUUGGAUGGUCCCGCGGCGUAUUAGCUAGAUGGUGGGGUAACGGCUCACCAUGGCAAUGAUACGUAGCCGACCUGAGAGGGUAAUCGGCCACAUUGGGACUGAGACACGGCCCAAACUCCUACGGGAGGCAGCAGUAGGGAAUCUUCCACAAUGGACGAAAGUCUGAUGGAGCAACGCCGCGUGAGUGAAGAAGGGUUUCGGCUCGUAAAACUCUGUUGUUAAAGAAGAACAUAUCUGAGAGUAACUGUUCAGGUAUUGACGGUAUUUAACCAGAAAGCCACGGCUAACUACGUGCCAGCAGCCGCGGUAAUACGUAGGUGGCAAGCGUUGUCCGGAUUUAUUGGGCGUAAAGCGAGCGCAGGCGGUUUUUUAAGUCUGAUGUGAAAGCCUUCGGCUCAACCGAAGAAGUGCAUCGGAAACUGGGAAACUUGAGUGCAGAAGAGGACAGUGGAACUCCAUGUGUAGCGGUGAAAUGCGUAGAUAUAUGGAAGAACACCAGUGGCGAAGGCGGCUGUCUGGUCUGUAACUGACGCUGAGGCUCGAAAGUAUGGGUAGCAAACAGGAUUAGAUACCCUGGUAGUCCAUACCGUAAACGAUGAAUGCUAAGUGUUGGAGGGUUUCCGCCCUUCAGUGCUGCAGCUAACGCAUUAAGCAUUCCGCCUGGGGAGUACGGCCGCAAGGCUGAAACUCAAAGGAAUUGACGGGGGCCCGCACAAGCGGUGGAGCAUGUGGUUUAAUUCGAAGCUACGCGAAGAACCUUACCAGGUCUUGACAUACUAUGCAAAUCUAAGAGAUUAGACGUUCCCUUCGGGGACAUGGAUACAGGUGGUGCAUGGUUGUCGUCAGCUCGUGUCGUGAGAUGUUGGGUUAAGUCCCGCAACGAGCGCAACCCUUAUUAUCAGUUGCCAGCAUUAAGUUGGGCACUCUGGUGAGACUGCCGGUGACAAACCGGAGGAAGGUGGGGAUGACGUCAAAUCAUCAUGCCCCUUAUGACCUGGGCUACACACGUGCUACAAUGGAUGGUACAACGAGUUGCGAACUCGCGAGAGUAAGCUAAUCUCUUAAAGCCAUUCUCAGUUCGGAUUGUAGGCUGCAACUCGCCUACAUGAAGUCGGAAUCGCUAGUAAUCGCGGAUCAGCAUGCCGCGGUGAAUACGUUCCCGGGCCUUGUACACACCGCCCGUCACACCAUGAGAGUUUGUAACACCCAAAGUCGGUGGGGUAACCUUUUAGGAACCAGC